rnacentral:rRNA from 1 species
CAAUGGCGGGUGCCCUAUACAUGCAAGUCGAGCGGACAGAUGGGAGCUUGCUCCCUGAUGUUAGCGGCGGACGGGUGAGUAACACGUGGGUAACCUGCCUGUAAGACUGGGAUAACUCCGGGAAACCGGGGCUAAUACCGGAUGGUUGUUUGAACCGCAUGGUUCAAACAUAAAAGGUGGCUUCGGCUACCACUUACAGAUGGACCCGCGGCGCAUUAGCUAGUUGGUGAGGUAACGGCUCACCAAGGCAACGAUGCGUAGCCGACCUGAGAGGGUGAUCGGCCACACUGGGACUGAGACACGGCCCAGACUCCUACGGGAGGCAGCAGUAGGGAAUCUUCCGCAAUGGACGAAAGUCUGACGGAGCAACGCCGCGUGAGUGAUGAAGGUUUUCGGAUCGUAAAGCUCUGUUGUUAGGGAAGAACAAGUACCGUUCGAAUAGGGCGGUACCUUGACGGUACCUAACCAGAAAGCCACGGCUAACUACGUGCCAGCAGCCGCGGUAAUACGUAGGUGGCAAGCGUUGUCCGGAAUUAUUGGGCGUAAAGGGCUCGCAGGCGGUUUCUUAAGUCUGAUGUGAAAGCCCCCGGCUCAACCGGGGAGGGUCAUUGGAAACUGGGGGAACUUGAGUGCAGAAGAGGAGAGUGGAAUUCCACGUGUAGCGGUGAAAUGCGUAGAGAUGUGGAGGAACACCAGUGGCGAAGGCGACUCUCUGGUCUGUAACUGACGCUGAGGAGCGAAAGCGUGGGGAGCGAACAGGAUUAGAUACCCUGGUAGUCCACGCCGUAAACGAUGAGUGCUAAGUGUUAGGGGGGUUUCCGCCCCUUAGUGCUGCAGCUAACGCAUUAAGCACUCCGCCUGGGGAGUACGGUCGCAAGACUGAAACUCAAAGAGAAUUGACGGGGGGCCCGCACAGCGGUGGGAGCAUGUGGUUUUAAUUCGAAGCAGCGCGAAGAACUUUACCAGGUCUUGACGAUCCUCUGACAUCCUAGAGGAUAGGACGUUCGCCUUUCGGGGGGCAGAGUGACAGAUGGUGCAUGGAUGGUCGUCAGCUCGUGUCGUGAGAUGGUUGGGAGUUAAGUCCCACUACUAGCGCAAGCCGUUGAUCCUUACUGCGCAUUCAGUUGGCACUCUAAGGUGACUGGCCGUGUACAAGACCGGAGAUGUGCGAUUAACGUCGAAAUCCGCUCGUAGUGUGGA